UUUCCGUAGGUGAACCUGCGGAAGGAUCAUUACUGUGUUUGGGCCUCACGGCUCUUCAUUCAGACGCCGUGCGCAUUCGGGCUGCACGCGGACGCAGCAUUUAUCCACCCCUGUACACACACACGGUGGCGAGGUGGGUAACGGCUCGCCGCUGAUCUUUACACACGUCUAAAAGUCAUUGUAUGUGUAUUUGGGAUAAAAACACAACUUUCAGCAACGGAUCUCUUGGCUCUC
rnacentral:misc_RNA from 1 species